rfam:Veillonella parvula DSM 2008, complete genome.
UAAAGGCGAAUAGCGCAAGUACCCACGAAGGCAGUCGUUAGGGUAGACGAGGUGAAGAGUGAUCGAGUCAUCAGCGGAUGCUCUUCCGGCAUAUUCAUGUCGUAACAGGUAUUAAAAAGCCCAUCGGUAACGAUGGGGACAAAGUAUAUCUGAAUGAAUUGU